UACGUAGGGUGCAAGCGUUGUCCGGAAUUAUUGGGCGUAAAGAGCUCGUAGGCGGUUUGUCGCGUCUGCUGUGAAAACUCGGGGCUUAACCCCGGGCCUGCAGUGGGUACGGGCAGACUAGAGUGCGGUAGGGGAGAUCGGAAUUCCUGGUGUAGCGGUGAAAUGCGCAGAUAUCAGGAGGAACACCGGUGGCGAAGGCGGGAUCCUGGGCCAGUACUGACGCUGAGGAGCGAAAGCGUGGGGAGCAAACAGGG
rnacentral:rRNA from 1 species